rnacentral:rRNA from 1 species
CAAUAGCGUAUAUUAAAGUUGUUGCAGUUAAAAAGCUCGUAGUUGGACCUUGGACCUGGACAGGCGGUCCGCCUCACGGCGUGUACUGUCUUGCUGGGUCUUUCCUCUUGGUGAUCUGUUGUUUCGGCAGCAGGGAACCAGGACUUUUACUUUGAAAAAAUUAGAGUGUUCAAAGCAGGCUCGACGCCGGAAUAUAUUAGCAUGGAAUAAUAAAAUAGGACGUGCGGUUCUAUUUUGUUGGUUUUUGGAAUCGCCGUAAUGAUUAAUAGGGACAGUCGGGGGCAUUAGUACUCACAUGCUAGAGGUGAAAUUCUUGGAUUUUGCGAAGACUAACUUCUGCGAAAGCAUUUGCCAAGGAUGUUUUCAUUAA